GGGAUAACAGUUGGAAACGGCUGCUAAUACCGCAUAAGCGCACGGCAUCGCAUGAUGCAGUGUGAAAAACUCCGGUGGUAUAAGAUGGACCCGCGUUGGAUUAGCUAGUUGGUGAGGUAACGGCCCACCAAGGCGACGAUCCAUAGCCGACCUGAGAGGGUGACCGGCCACAUUGGGACUGAGACACGGCCCAAACUCCUACGGGAGGCAGCAGUGGGGAAUAUUGCACAAUGGGCGAAAGCCUGAUGCAGCGACGCCGCGUGAGCGAAGAAGUAUUUCGGUAUGUAAAGCUCUAUCAGCAGGGAAGAUAAUGACGGUACCUGACUAAGAAGCACCGGCUAAAUACGUGCCAGCAGCCGCGGUAAUACGUAUGGUGCAAGCGUUAUCCGGAUUUACUGGGUGUAAAGGGAGCGCAGGCGGUGCGGCAAGUCUGAUGUGAAAGCCCGGGGCUCAACCCCGGUACUGCAUUGGAAACUGUCGUACUAGAGUGUCGGAGGGGUAAGCGGAAUUCCUAGUGUAGCGGUGAAAUGCGUAGAUAUUAGGAGGAACACCAGUGGCGAAGGCGGCUUACUGGACGAUAACUGACGCUGAGGCUCGAAAGCGUGGGGAGCAAACAGGAUUAGAUACCCUGGUAGUCCACGCCGUAAACGAUGAAAACGGGGUGUUGGGAAGCAUUGCUUCUCGGUGCCGUCG
rnacentral:rRNA from 1 species